UUUCCGUAGGUGAACCUGCGGAAGGAUCAUUAUCGAGUUUUUGAAGUGGUUGGGGGAGUUUGAUGCUGGUGCCUCUGCGGUGCAUGUGCUCGACUCCUCGACUCCCCUCCACGCUCAAUCCACUCAACCCCUGUGCACUUUCGAAGUGGUCGUCGAUCCCCCCGUUUUAGGACGGGAGCAGCCGGCUUCUGGGAAGGUUAAUCUUUUUCGGAGGAUCGGUCGGGAUCGACGGCGCUUCGCAUACAUAUAUACAAACUCUAUCUAUGUCUUGUAGAACGCGUUAGCCUCUUCGUAGGCGAAACUAAAUACAACUUUCAACAACGGAUCUCUUGGCUCUC
rnacentral:misc_RNA from 1 species